rnacentral:rRNA from 1 species
GAUGAACGCUGGCGGCGUGCCUAAUACAUGCAAGUCGAGCGAACAGACGAGGAGCUUGCUCCUCUGACGUUAGCGGCGGACGGGUGAGUAACACGUGGAUAACCUACCUAUAAGACUGGGAUAACUUCGGGAAACCGGAGCUAAUACCGGAUAACAUGUUGAACCGCAUGGUUCAACAGUGAAAGACGGUCUUGCUGUCACUUAUAGAUGGAUCCGCGCCGCAUUAGCUAGUUGGUAAGGUAACGGCUUACCAAGGCAACGAUGCGUAGCCGACCUGAGAGAGUGAUCGGCGACACUGGAACUGAGACACGGUCCAGACGCCUACGGGAGGCAGCAGUAGGGAAUCGUCCGCAAUGGGCGAAAGCCUGACGGAGCAACGCCGCGUGAGUGAUGAAGGUCUUCGGAUCGUAAAACUCUGUUAUUAGGGAAGAACAAAUGUGUAAGUAACUAUGCACGUCUUGACGGUACCUAAUCAGAAAGCCACGGCUAACUACGUG